GUUAGGAAUAUUGGACAAUGGGAGCAAGCCUGAUCCAGCCAUGCCGCGUGAGUGAUGAAGGCCUUCGGGUUGUAAAGCUCUUUAGCCGAUGAUUAUAAUGACUGUAGUCGGAAAAUAAGCCCCGGCUAACUUCGUGCCAGCAGCCGCGGUAAUACGAAGGGGGCGAGCGUUAUUCGGAAUCACUGGGCGUAAAGCGUGCGUAGGCGGCUUUGCAAGUUGGGAGUGAAAGCCCAGGGCUCAACCCUGGAAUUGCUCUCAAAACUGCAAGGCUCGAAUUCGGGAGAGGAUAGCGGAAUUGUCAGUGUAGCAGUGAAAUGCGUAGAUAUUGACAGGAACACCAGUGGCGUAAGCGGCUAUCUGGACCGAUAUUGACGCUGAGGCACGAAAGCGUGGGGAUCAAACAGGAUUAGAAACCCCGGUAGUCC
rnacentral:rRNA from 1 species